CAUGUAGACAAGAGGAGCAAUUAGAUGGAGAGACUACAUCCAAAGGUCUCUGCAGGCUAUUUUACAGAUGGAUACAAUAAUUGCUUUUUGUAGUUAAAUAAAAGCAAUGGGAUAGAAAUUCA
rnacentral:lncRNA from 1 species